UACGUAGGGAGCAAGCGUUGUCCGGAAUCAUUGGGCGUAAAGAGCUCGUAGGUGGCUGAGUAAGUCGGAUGUUAAAUCCCCAGGCUCAACCUGGGACACCACCCGAUACUGCUCUGGCUAGAGUCCGGUAGGGGAGCGUGGAAUUCCUGGUGUAGCGGUGAAAUGCGCAGAUAUCAGGAGGAACACCAGCGGCGAAGGCGGCGCUCUGGGCCGGUACUGACACUGAGACGCGAAAGCGUGGGGAGCGAACAGG
rnacentral:rRNA from 1 species